UACGGAGGGUGCGAGCGUUGUUCGGAAUCAUUGGGCGUAAAGGGCGUGUAGGUGGUCUAUUAAGUCAUGUGUGAAAGCCCUCAGCUUAACUGAGGAAGUGCAUCCGAAACUGGCAGGCUAGAGUACUAAAGAGGGUCGCGGAAUUCCCGGUGUAGAGGUGAAAUUCGUAGAUAUCGGGAGGAACACCGGUGGCGAAGGCGGCGACCUGGGUAGAUACUGACGCUGAGGUGCGAAAGCGUGGGGAGCAAACAGG
rnacentral:rRNA from 1 species